CUAGAAUAUAAAAAAUGGCUAUUACUACAUGGUUGUAAUACAUGGGUACAUAUAUAAUUUUAAUUUAGUACAGCUAUAUAAACAUUUUAAAGUUAAAGUUAAUUCCCCAAGACCUUAAUACAUGCACACAUGAAAGACAAACAGUUCAUGAUAGAAGUACAUGAACUAGCAAAUCCAUAGGAAGAAAAAUCUAAUAACUAUAUAUCUAUCCUGAGAUUACUGAAAUUAAGUUAGUAAAAUAAUCAAGGAUGUGGUAUACUUGGUCCAACAUGUAUUACUAUGUUAUUGUCCAAUUAGUACUCUCUGGAAAAAGGAUGGCAAUAUGUAACCAGCACAAUGAAAGUAUAGUAAUUAACCAAGAAGAUCAGCAGAACAUAUUAAAUAUAAGCACAAUUGUAACAAUGUAAGACAAUAAAACCCAGCUGGGUGGUCGUGAUGUUGGCCUUUAAUCCAACCACUUGGGAGGCAGAGGCAGGGGAAUACCUGAGUUUGAGGAUAGCCUGGUCUACAGGGUGAGUCUCAGGAUGGCCAGAACUACACAGAGAAAGCCUGUCUGGGAAAACGAAAAAAUGAAAGAAAGAAAACCCAGGCUAGAGCAGGUCUGGGACCAUCAACGAUCAAUGGGGAUUCCUAUGGUGUUUGGCAGAUGCUUUCAACUUAACCCUACCCUGUGAUAAACUAUCCUCUUACACGCUUACAGGUAGCCAGUGUCCCACUGCCCUGACAAAUCCCGAGAGUAUCCCUUUGCCUGGGUUUAAGAGCUGGCUUCUAGCACGCGUGGUCUUCACUGUUCAGUGCAGAUCAUUACACUCUGGCUUGUGAUGGCACCCUUUUGAUAGACCUUUACUCACUACUGCUGGGUAGUGACACCCUCCUUGAGAGUCCUGCUCCAACUCCUGUCCUUUGCAAAUGCGCUGCCAGAUGCACAUGCAUUCCUGCUCUGCAGGGCUGAUGCUGUGCUUUCUAGCUGCACCUGCACGUGCCCCUCAGUGGCUGGGGGAGAGGG
rnacentral:lncRNA from 1 species